GACGUAGGGUGCGAGCGUUAAUCGGAAUUACUGGGCGUAAAGCGUGCGUAGGCGGUCCGCGAAGUCUGAUGUGAAAGCCCCGGGCUCAACCUGGGAACUGCAUUGGAAACUAACGGGCUCGAGUGUGGCAGAGGGGGGUGGAAUUCCACGUGUAGCAGUGAAAUGCGUAGAGAUGUGGAGGAACACCGAUGGCGAAGGCAGCCCCCUGGGCUAACACUGACGCUCAGGCACGAAAGCGUGGGGAGCAAACAGG
rnacentral:rRNA from 1 species